rnacentral:ncRNA from 2 species
AAUCUGUUUCAGGGCGAGGUGCAAUUCCUCACUGGCGGUGUUCGGCAGUUGCCGUGAGUCCGCGAGCCUGAUGUGAAGUAUCACAGAAGGCAGAAUGGGUGUAACUCCCAUACCAACGGUAUAGUCCGGAUGAAAGAAACGAAAU